UGCAGGAUCAGAGAAGGCGGCGGUGGAGGCAGGACCCCAGCCGGCCCCAUCAACCACACAGGCCUGCGCUGCUCCACGGGUCGAGGGAGGCACCCUCAUCUCGUCUUCCAAGCAGGAAAGACACCUGACCCGAGGCGGCCGAGCGCUCCAUGCCAGGUAAUGGGUCCCAGCUGCGGCCGCUGGCCCGCCAGCCCAGGCUCAGGCCCCGGCUCCCUGUGGUUCUGCAGCCUGGCCGAGCUGUAACUCAGAGCCUGGGUCUCUCCAGCCCCACGUCUGGAACCGCCCGCCUGCGGGUCUACAGAGAGCAGAGUAGGUGCUCAGGGCUCACUGGACGCUGAGACGACGCAUGCGCGGUGCGUGGGCGCGUGCAUGAGCGCCGGGCGUCGUCGGUGACGCCCGCCCCGUGGCGCGGCUCCCGCUCUCAGCAGCGCGGUGCUGAGAAGAGGGGCCUGCGGUGUGGGAGGACCCGGCCCCUGGAGCCUCACGGAGCACAGCAGCAGUAGCAGCAGAAGCAGCAGGCUGACCACCCGGAGCCGUCGUCCGAGUGACCGCUCGCGCUUCCCCUGCGCGCCCCACGCCCGGACUCAGAGGCCCCGAGGCCCAGCGCAGGGCCGGCUGCUGCCUCCGGGAAGAGGACUGACUGCUAGGCGGGGGGAAAAGCAGACUCAUUUGCUUCGAUCCCAAGGAGAAAAUGAAGGCCAAUUACACGUUCUUCUCAAGUGCACACGGAACGUUCUCCAGGAGAGAUCACAUCUUGGGUCACAAAUCAAGCCUCAGUAAAUUUAGGAAAAUUGAAAUCAUAUCAAGCAUCUUUUCUGACCACAACGCUAUGAGAUUAGAAAUGAAUUACAGGGAAAAAAACGUAAAAAACACAAACACAUGGAGGCUAAACAAUACGUUACUAAAUAACCAAGAGAUCACUGAAGAAAUCAAAGAGGAAAUCAAAAAAUACCUAGAGACAAAUGACAAUGAAAACAUAACGAUCCAAAACCUAUGGGAUGCAGCAAAAGCAGUUCUAAGAGGGAAGUUUAUAGCUAUACAAGCCUACCUCAAGAAACAAGAAAAAUCUCAAAUAAACAAUCUAACCUUAGACCUAAAGGAACUAGAGAAAGAAGAACAAACAAAACCCAAAGUUAGCAGAAGGAAAUAAAUCAUAAAGAUCAGAUCAGAAAUAAAUGAAAUAGAAACAAAGAAAACAAUAGCAAAGAUCAGUAAAACUAAAAGCUGGUUCUUUGAGAAGGUAAACAAAAUCAAUAAACCAUUAGCCAGACUCAUCAAGAAAAAGAGGGAGAGGACUCAAAUCAAUAAAAUUAGAAAUGAAAAAGGAGAAGUUAACAACAGACACCACAGAAAUAAAAAGCAUCCUAAGAGACUUCUACAAGCAACUCUAUGCCAAUAAAAUGGACAACCUGGAAGAAAUGUACAAAUUCUUAGAAAGGUAUAACCGUCCAAGACUGAACCAGGAAGAAAUAGAAAAUAUGAACAGACCAAUCACAAGUAAUGAAAUUGAAACUGUGAUUAAAAAUCUUCCAACAAACAGAAGUCCGGGACCAGAUGGCUUCAUAGGUGAAUUCUAUCAAACAUGUAGAGAAGAGCUAACACCCAUCCUUCUCAAACUCUUCCAAAAAAUUGCAGAGGAAGGAACACUCCCAAACUCAUUCUCUGAGGCCACCAUCACCCUGAUACCAAAACCAAAGAUACUACAAAAAAAGAAAAUUACAGACCAAUAUCACUGAUGAAUAUAGAUGCAGAAAUUCUCAACAAAAUAGUAGCAAACAGAAUCCAACAACACAUUAAAAGGAUCAUACACCACAAUCAAGUGGGAUUUAACCCAGGGAUGCAAGGAUUCUUCAGUAUACACAAAGCAAUCAAUGUGAUACACACUAUUAACAAAUUGAAGCAUAAAAACCAUAUGAUCAUCUCAAUAGAUGCAGAAAAAGCUUCUGACAAAAUUCAACACCCAUUUACGAUAAAAAGUCUCCAGAAAGUGGGCAUAGAGGGAACCUACCUCAACCUAAUAAAGGCCAUAUACGACAAACCCACAGCAAACAUCAUUCUCAAUGGUGAAAAACUGAAAGCAUUUCCUCUAAGAUCAGGAACAAAACAAGGUUGCCCACUCUCACCACUAUUAUUCAACAUAGUUUUGGAAGUCCUAGCCACGGCAAUCAGAGAAGAAAAAGAAAUAAAAGUAAUACAAGUUGGAAAAGAAGAAGUAAAACUGUCACUGUUUGCAGAUGACCUGAUACUAUACAUAGAGAUCCUAAAAAUGCCACCAGAAAACUACUAGAGCUAAUCAAUGGAUUUGGUAAAGUAGCAGGAUAAAAAAUUAAUGCACAGAAAUCUCUUACAUUCCUAUAAACUAAUGAUGAAAGAUCUGAAAGAGAAAUUAAGGAAACACUCCCAUUUGCCAUUGCAACAAAAAGAAUAAAAUACCUAGGAAUAAACCUACCUAGGGAGACAAAAGACCUGUAUGCAGAAAACUAUAAGACACUGAUGAAAGAAAUUAAAGAUGAUACCAACAGAUGGAGAGAUAUACCAUGUUCUUGGAUUGGAAGAAUCAAUAUUGUGAAAAUGACUGUACUACCCAAAGCAAUCUACAGAUUCAAUGCAAUCCCUAUCAAAUUACCAAUGGCAUUUUUUACAGAGCUAGAACAAAAAAUCUUAAAAUUUGUAUGGAGACACAAAAGACCCCAAAUAGCCGAAGCAGUCUUGAGGGAAAAAAACAGAGCUGGAGGAAUCAGACUCCCUGACUUCAGACUAUACUACAUAGCUACAGUAAUCAAGACAAUAUGGUACUGGCACAAAAACAGAAAUAGAUCAAUGGAACAAGAUGGAAAGCCCAGAGAUAAACCCACACACCUAUGGUCAACUAAUCUAUGACAAAGGAGGCAAGGAUAUACAAUGGAGAAAAGACAGUUUCUUCAAUAAGUGGUGCUGGGAAAACUGGACAGCUACAUGUAAAAGAAUGAAAUUAGAACACUCCCUAACACCAAACACAAAAAUAAACUCAAAAUGGAUUAGAGACCUAAAUGUAAGACCAGACACUGUAAAACUUUUAGAGGAAAACAUAGGAAGAACACUCUUUGACAUAAAUCACAGCAAGAUCUUUUUUGAUCCACCUCCUAGAGUAAUGGAAAUAAAAACAAAAAUAAACAAAUGGGACCUAAUGAAACUUUAAAGCUUUUGCACAGCAAUGGAAACCAUAAACAAGAUGAAAAGACAACCCUCAGAAUGGGAGAAAAUAUUUGCAAACGAAUCAUCAGACAAAGGAUUAAUCUCCAAAAUAUAUAAACAGCUCAUGCAGCUCAAUAUUAAAGAAACAAACAACCCAAUCCAAAAAUGGGCAGAAGACCUAAAUAGACAUUUCUCCAAAGAAGACAUACAGAUAGCCAAGAAGCACAUGAAAAGCUGCUCAACAUCACUAAUUAUUAGAGAAAUGCAAAUCAAAACUGCAAUGAGGUAUCACCUCACACCAGUUAGAAUGGGCAUCAUCAGAAAAUCUACAAACAACAAAUGCUGGAGAGGGUGUGGAGAAAAGGGAACCCUCUUGCACUGUUGGUGGGAAUGUAAAUUGGUGCAGCCACUAUGGAGAACAGUAUGGAGGUUCCUUAAAAAACUAAAAAUAGAAUUACCAUAUGAUCCAGCAAUCCCACUACUGGGCAUAUGCCCAGAGAAAACCAUAAUUCAAAAAGACACAUGCACCCCAAUGUUCAUUGCAGCACUAUUUACAAUAGCCAGGUCAUGGAAGCAACCUAAAUGCCCAUCAACAGACGAAUGGAUAAAGAAGGUGUGGUACAUAUAUACAAUGGAAUAUUACUCAGCCAUAGAAAGGAACGAAAUUGGGUCAUUUGUUGAGACGUGGAUGGAUCUAGAGACGGUCAUACAGAGUGAAGUAAGUCAGAAAGAGAAAAACAAAUAUCGUAUAUUAACGCCUGUAUGUGGAACCUAGAAAAAUGGUACAGAUGAGCCGGUUUGCAGGGCAGAAGUUGAGACACAUAUUUAGAGAACAAACGUAUGGACACCAAGGGAGGAAAGCCGUGGGGGGUGGGGAUGGUGGUGUGAUGAAUUGGGUGAUUUGGAUUGACAUGUAUACACUGAUGUGUAUAAAAUUGAUGACUAUUAAGAACCUACUGUAUAAAAAAGUAAAUAAAAUAAAAUUUAAAAAUUUUUUAAAAAACCAAAAACUAAUACUAAACUUUCUUUGGGUUAUUGGGUUAUUUGUAUGGAAAUAUGUUAAUAUAAAUGUUUCAGACAUUACAUGAAAUUCCUAAAAAUCUUAUAUGUUCUGGUAUAAUGUUAUAAGUCAUAAUUCUAGUUAUUAUUUUAAAAUGUAUAUCAGAAAUAACUAAAUUUCCUUGUCAAUUGCAUUAUUAUGAACUUUCAUCAAAUCUUUAACCACGGUCAUUUUUAAGUCUUUUGUCAUUUACAGACAGUUCUGGGUGUACUCUGAUGCUUUUGCAAAAAUGUUCCUAUAAAAGGUUUCAUCUUCAAGGAAUUCAUGGAAAAGACUGACAAGUACAGGUUUCUGGUAACUGACUAUACUGCUGAACUGAAUGAAUAAGCAUUUUCAGAACUCUAAUGGAAAACUGAUGAAUUCAUAAAAGUGCUAACAAAAGAUCAAGAUAAAAAAAAUUAAUUACAUGGGACUGAGUGAACUGAUGAGGAUGAUUAUAAUUUUUGUGACUUUCUGUUUGAAUUAAAAAAAAAAAACUGUAACAGAAAAAAAAAAAAAAAGUCCUGGCUGCACUGGGCAAGGGCUGGGUCCCCACUCUGUCUGUAGCUUCCUGAGCACCAUGAGAAACACUCCUGACCCCAGGUACCUGCCUUCCUCAGUGUCCCGCCCGGGAACCAGCCCAGGUGGGCAUUCUAAUCUCCUAAGGGGAUCAGAUGUCCCAGUUUGGGCAAAAGGACCUCCUGAGGAAAUAAGGUGCAGCUGAGGGUUCAGUCUAGCAAAUCCCUAGAAGGGAGAGAAGCAUUCCCAUCCUGCCAUGCACUCGGAUGCAGCCACUUCCCAAGUUACAUUUUUAUUCUGCUGUUUUCAGUGCAGAAAAUGGCAGCACGCCCUCUCCUUUACUUUAUGAAGCUGCUCAAGGGCCAAACUUUACCAGGGGCCUGGAUUCACUUGGAAAUAUAAAAAACACCAGAGGAAACUCAAUCCACGGUGGCCUGCCCUCGUUCACUGGUAAGACAGAGAUUUAUGCAACGUCUCUGGAUCUCUUCCGGUCAUACAUCACUUCCUUCAGCCAUCGGAAGGAACAUCCUGAGGAAAAUAAUGAUUCACACCAGGGCUGUGAUCAGAGCCAUCUGUCCGCACCAAGUCCAUACAAUUACAGUGUUCACUUCCUGAGGUUCAAACGCUUGGCUGCAUCUGGAAGUCGACACAAGACGGCAGCAGAGAGAAAGUGCUAUUCUUUGUAGCCAGGAGCUGCGAAGCAGCGUUCCAAGGACUCCAGCCUCAGAAGCCUGGCUCCCUGCGACUCCUCCAGGAAGCACGGAGCAGGGUCCACGACGGCAAAUGGCCUCGGCUGUGCCUGGCAUCGCGAGGCUGCAUACAUCUCCCUAAAGUACUGGACGUCAAGGACAUUUCACUAAACGGGGCCUAGAAGCUAAAAUCCGAGAGCCUGGUGAAGGGGAAACCGCAGCGGGCAGAGCAGUGGUCCCCAAAGUGUGGGUCUUCCCGACACCCCUCCAGCAGCAGCUGCGUUCCCCUGGAACCUACUGGAAAUGCAGAUUUUUGGACCUCACCCCAGACCCACUGAAUCAGGUUGUCUGGGGGUGGGGCCCAGCAGUCUGUUUUAACAAACCUCCCAGGUGACUCAGAUCCAUGCAAAAGUUUGGGAACCACUGGAACAGAAGCUGAGGAAAGCCCCAUGACCACCUUCAUCUCCUCCCUGGCAGAUCAGGGUGUGGGAUUGGCUAUUUUAGGUCCGUUUGACCCCAACCCUGGAAAUCCCAGCCUAGCUGCUCUCAGGCAUUACCCCCUGACGGAAGACAAUGCUUAGUAGGUAGCAGACUAUGCUACAUAUUUUAAUAAAUGCCGAUUUUUAAGCCACAUUUUUGCUUGGCAAAUGGUGGGUCCUAAGUUUAUGUUCAAUAGACACCACCAUGUUGAAUCACGACCAUCAGAUUUGCAAAAUACUCCUUUCUUGUGUUAGUCAAGGUUCUCCCCGGAAACAGAACCAAUGGGAUAUGCAUAUCCAUGCAGACAGAGAGUGGGGGAUUUAUCACACAGAGCUCACUCGAUUAUGGAGGCGGAAAGUCCCACCAUCUGUCUGCAAGCUGGAGACCCAGGGAGCUGGUGGUGUAGUUCAGUCCAAACCUGGAAGCCUGGGGACCAGAGACACCAAUAGUGUAAGUCCCAGUGCGAGGGCAGGAGAAAGCCCACGUCCAGCUCAGCAGUCAGGCAGAGAGUAGAUAUCCCCUCCUCCCCGUCUUUGUUCUCUCCAGGCCAUCGAAGGUUUGGAUGGCGCCCGCACAUUGAUGACAGUCAUCUUCUUUACUCGACAGUGGUCUUCUUUACUCAGUCUACUGAUUCAAAUGCUCAUCUCUUGCAAAGAGACCCUCACAGACACCCCAGAAUAAUGUUUAACCUGCUACCUGGGCAUCCCUUGGCCCAGUCAAGCUGACCCAUAAAAUUAACCAUCACAUUCUUCAUAGAAUCCCUUCCUCCCAAUCCACCCCGAGGCCUCCCACCCCUGAAUGUUACUCCAGGUAGUAACCAAACUCUGCUGGGACAAGUUUUCAACAUCUCUUUCACCCCUAAAUUGUUUCUUUCUCAUCCAACUUUUGCCCAAUAACUUAGAAAUUGAUUUUCCUCUCUCUCAUUAUUCAUUUUAUCUCUCACACUCUUCUCCCAUUUUGGGCACCAAACUGGACUUUCAGGUGACUCACAGGAGUCCUGGAGGCAUACCUGUGACAAAAGGCACCACCUCCGUUUAAAGUCACAUCGGUGGGACAACCCACGUUACAAACUUCUAAAACCAAAAGUGCCUUGGGCAUCUUGGUAAAGGUUUCCUCCUCCUGCUUUCUCUCAAGUUCAAUAUAAACCAAAUGCCUGUCUUUGAAAUUGUGUUUUGUUUAGUCUCGAGUGCAUUCGGUCCUGAUCCUUUACCGUCCAGCCUUUGGACUCCGUCAUGCUUCCAUUUGGGGGUGAUGGCCCCUCCCCGAGCAGUGUCCCCACAGCCCU